CCCAGGGCUGACGCCCUGGGCUAAAUUAUUCCGCCCCUGCGGGCCU
rfam:Acidobacteriales bacterium 13_1_40CM_3_55_5 13_1_40cm_3_scaffold_3094, whole genome shotgun sequence.